rnacentral:rRNA from 1 species
GUGAGAACACGUAGCCAAUCUAACCUAUGGACGGGGAUAACCUCGGGAAACUGAGGAUAAACCCCGAUAGAUCAUUAUGCCUGGAACGGUUUAUGGUCCAAAUGAUUCGUCGCCGUAGGAUGAGACUGCGGCCUAUCAGCUUGUUGGUGAGGUAAUGGCCCACCAAGGCUAUUACAGGUACGGGCUCUGAGAGGAGAAGCCCGGAGAUGGGUACUGAGACACGGACCCAGGCCCUAUGGGGCGCAGCAGGCGAGAAACCUUUGCAAUGUGCGCAAGCACGACAAGGUUAAUCCGAGUGUUUCCUGCUAAAGGAAUCUUUUGUUAGUCUUAAAAUCACUAUUGAAUAAGGGGUGGGCAAGUUCUGGUGUCAGCCGCCGCGGUAAAACCAGCACCUCAAGUGGUCAGGAGGAUUAUUGGGCCUAAAGCAUCCGUAGCCUGCUCUGUAAGUUUCCGGUUAAAUUCAUUAGCUCAACUAAUGGCCUGCCGGAAAUACUGCAGAGCUAGGAAGUGGGAGAGGUAGACGGUACUCGGUAGGAAGGGGUAAAAUCCUUUGAUCUAUUGAUGACCACCAGUGGCGAAGGCGGUCUACCAGAACACAUUCGACGGUGAGGGAUGAAAGCUGGGGGAGCAAACCGGAUUAGAUACCCGGGUAGUCCCAGCUGU